rnacentral:lncRNA from 12 species
AUUUCUUCAGUCAGCCUUUCAUCUGCUGUGAAGGCACUUGAAUGUGUCACCAAUGUGAUGCAAGUUAAAGGGAACAGUUGAAUUCUACCUUAUAAUUGUUUAAAGAACAGUUAUCCUGCAGCAUAUUCCCUUUGGGGAUGCAUUCUAAUGUCCUAGAGUGUGCUGAAAGAAUGAUUUGACCUAUUUAAGUGAGAAAAAGCUAAAGAAAUUUGCAAUACUUAUCUUGAAGG